AAUCUUCCACAAUGGGCGAAAGCCUGAUGGAGCAACGCCGCGUGAGUGACGAAGGAUUUCGGUUCGUACAACUCUGCUGUAAGGGACGAACAAGUACAGUAGUAACUGGCUGUACCUUGACGGUACCUUAUUAGAAAGCCACGUCUAACUACGUGCCAGCAGCCGCGGUAAUACGUAGGUGGCAAGCGUUGUCCGGAAUUAUUGGGCGUAAAGCGCGCGAAGGUGGUUUCGUAAGUCUGAGGAGAAAGCCCACGGCUCAACCGUGGAGGGUCAUUGGAAACUGGGAGACUUGAGUGCAGAAGAGGAUAGUGGAAUUCAAAGUGUAGAGGGGAAAUGCGUAGAGAUUUGGAGGAACACCAGUGGCGAAGGCGACUAUCUGGUCUGUAACUGACACUGAGGCGCGAAAGCGUGGGGAGCAAACA
rnacentral:rRNA from 1 species